rnacentral:rRNA from 1 species
UGAAUACGAGAUGCUACGGCGUUGAAGCAGUGUAUGUCAGACUUCCAAGAAAAGCUCGCAAUGUCAUAAAUAAAGAAUGCCUGUACCAUAACCGACACAGGUGGGUAGGUAGAGUAUACUAAGGGGCGCGAGAUAACUCUCUCUAAGGAACUCGGCAAAAUAACUCCGUAACUUCGGGAGAAGGAGUGCCUUCUUUAAGUAGGUUGCAAUAACAAGAUCCAAGCAACUGUUUAUCAAAAACACAGGUCUCCGCUAAGUCGUAAGACGAUGUAUGGGGGCUGACGCCUGCCCAGUGCCAGAAGGUUAAAGAAAUUGGUUAGCAUUUGCGAAGCUGAUGACUGAAGCCCUGGUGAACGGCGGCCGUAACUAUAACGGUCCUAAGGUAGCGAAAUUCCUUGUCGGGUAAGUUCCGACCCGCACGAAAGGCGUAAUGAUUUGGAUACUGUCUCGGAGAGGGACUCGGUGAAAUAGACUUGUCUGUGAAGAUGCGGACUACCUGCACCAGGACAGAAAGACCCUAUGAAGCUUUACUGUAACUUGAAAUUGAAAUUGGACUUUAUUUGCGCAGCAUAGGUGGAAGGCGUUGAGACUAACUUUGCGGGAUUGGUGGAGCCAUCAGUGAGAUACCACUCCUAUAAUGUUAGAUUUCUAACUUUGAAUCAUGAUCUGGUCAAAGAACAGUUUCAGGCGGGCAGUUUGACUGGGGCGGUCGCCUCCCAAAUGGUAACGGAGGCGUACAAAGGUUUCCUCUGAACGGGUAGAAAUCGUAUCUAGAGUGUAAAGGCAUAAGGAAGCUUGACUGUGAGACCUACAAGUCGAGCAGGGACGAAAGUCGGUCUUAGUGAUCUGACGGUGCUGAGUGGAAAGGCCGUCACUCAACGGAUAAAAGUUACUCUAGGAUAACAGGCUGAUCUCCCCCAAGAGUUCACAUCGACGGGGAGGUUUGGCACCUCGAUGUCGGCUCAUCGCAUCCUGGGGCGGUAGUACGUCCCAAGGGUUGGGCUGUUCGCCCAUGAAAGCGGUACGCGAGCUGGGUUCAGAACGUCGUGAGACAGUUCGGUCCAUAUCCGGUGUAGGCGUUAGAAUAUUGAGAGGAGCCUUCUUUAGUACGAGAGGACCGAGAAGGACACACCUCUGGUGUACCAGUUAUCGUGCCAACGGUAAACGCUGGGUAGCUAUGUAUGGAGAGGAUAACCGCUGAAAGCAUCUAAGUGGGAAGCCCACCUCAAGAUGAGUAUUCUCA